GAGGAAAGCUGGAGGCGUGCCUAAUACAUGCAAGUCGAGCGAACAGACGAGGAGCUUGCUCCUCUGACGUUAGCGGCGGACGGGUGAGUAACACGUGGAUAACCUACCUAUAAGACUGGGAUAACUUCGGGAAACCGGAGCUAAUACCGGAUAAUAUAUUGAACCGCAUGGUUCAAUAGUGAAAGACGGUUUUGCUGUCACUUAUAGAUGGAUCCGCGCCGCAUUAGCUAGUUGGUAAGGUAACGGCUUACCAAGGCAACGAUGCGUAGCCGACCUGAGAGGGUGAUCGGCCACACUGGAACUGAGACACGGUCCAGACUCCUACGGGAGGCAGCAGUAGGGAAUCUUCCGCAAUGGGCGAAAGCCUGACGGAGCAACGCCGCGUGAGUGAUGAAGGUCUUCGGAUCGUAAAACUCUGUUAUUAGGGAAGAACAAAUGUGUAAGUAACUAUGCACGUCUUGACGGUACCUAAUCAGAAAGCCACGGCUAACUACGUG
rnacentral:rRNA from 1 species